rnacentral:rRNA from 1 species
AUGAGUUGCAUCAGCUGGAACUGUCGGGGGCUUGGCAACCCCGAUGCAAUUCGGGAGCUUCGCAGUAUUGUGAAGUUGGAAGGACCCGCUCUUCUCUUUGUAAUGGAAACGAAACUAAGAGCUAAAAGAGUAGAAGAUUUGCAGAGUAAUUUAGGCUUUGCUGCUUGUUUUGCAGUAGACGGUGCUGGCCUUAGUGGCGGCAUUGGUCUGUUUUGGUCCCGAGAUGUGUCUGUUGAACUUAAAAAUUAUAGUCAACGUCAUAUCAAUAUUUUGGUUACUAAUAAACUUCUGAAUUCUCCACCUUGGGGAUUCAUGGGUUUCUACGGAGCACCGCGUGCUGAAGAUAGGCAUCACAAUUGGCAUUUUUUGCGUUCUCUCCAUUCUAUUCCACAUGGUGCAUGGUUGUGCAUGGGGGAUUUCAAUGAGACUCUAUACUCAAAUGAGCAUAUUAGUCGGGCUGCUCGUCCGGAGCGACAAAUACAAGCUUUCAGAGAGGUUACAAAUGAUAUUUCCUUCCAGGACCUGGGUAUGUCAGGUACGGCUUAUACAUGGGAUAACCGUCAAUCUGGAAUGGACAAUGUAAAAGCAUGGUUGGACCGAGCCUUUGCAAAUGAAAAUUUCCGACAACAGUUCCAACAUAUUAGGGUGAGGUAUCUGUCUUCCUUCGGUGGAGUCGGACCACUACUUUGUUGUUGCGGAAAUUAA